CGGGGCAUAGCGCAGCCUGGUAGCGCGGAAGUUUUGGGUACUUCAGGUCGCAGGUUCGAAUCCUGCUGCCCCGACCA
rnacentral:tRNA from 2 species